AGUGGUUUAUAGUCCCAUUAACAUUUAAUGAGGGCUCCACUUUCCCCGCAGCAGGCGUGUGCUGCUGUUACUGGUCUUUGCCACUUUGAUUGAGGUAAGAAAACCUCAGAGUUGUUUUGAUUUGAUUCACAUAAUUAUCAGGGCUGGUGAACAAACGUUUUUUGAGAGAAUCUUUUUAGAGAUAUUUCUUAGCCAUUGUUUUCUUUCAGAGUGAAGGGCCCAAGUGUUGAGUUCUUUGGAUACUGUGGAUAUUAUAUUUCUGUCAGGUGUAUAGGUGAGCAUGGAUGGCAUGUGUUGUUCUCAUCUGACCACAGUGGCACUGUGACCCGAUACCCUGGCAUGCAUGCCAUGGUAGACUAUACUUUUAACUGUGAGCUAAUGUACACUCUUCCUUCUUUAAGUGGCAUUACCACCUCAGCCUACUAAGUGAAAGAAUUUUGAAAAAGAAAAAUCUCAGUCAGGUGGGAACGGGUCUAAUGGCAAGGUAGCUUGCCUCUUAAGAACUCUUCAACACAAAUACUUUAAGUAAGUAUUCAUGCAAGGACUUACUUAACAAGAGAGUCUGUUACAUCUUUGCGAUUUAUUUCUGAUAUGUGAGGGAUAGCAUUUCUCCAUUUUGAAGCACAUAGUUUUCAAGAUAUUACUUUAGAAGCAGGGACUCUGCUUUCACCAUGAACUAGCCAGUUUCAGGAACCAUAAUAAAAAUUAAUUUCUGACUAUUAUGUUUUUUCCCCAAAUUCAUAGCAGCACAAAAUUACUAAGUCAUUCAUUGUUCGUGUCUCCCUCAUCUUACUAGGGGGAUUUUGGAUGAUUUUAUGAUCAAACAGAUCUAAGAGUAUAUCUUAGUGAUGUUUCUGGGAAACGUUUAUUUUUCUUGGUGACUAAAAGCAGAGAGCUCUGAUCUUUGAUUCGACUGCCAGUUUCAUUUACCAAUUCUGCCUACAGACGGACUGGGGAUUUCUCCAUCACUGUUGCACAUAAGAAGAGUGGUGAUAGGAAGAGUGGACACAGCAGUGUUCAUACCAGGCACUGUCCUGGAGCCAGUGAUGCCAGAGGUAACCUUUCAAUUUUGAUUGAUUCUAGGAGCAAGCCUCCUACCCUACAAAACUCAUCUCCUGUGACCUUCUAGCCUGAGUCAAGCUGGGAUCGUCAUUGCUCUGUGUUCUCUCCCUUUGGACCAGGGUCUGCGGUGCAGGAGAUGGAAAUCUCUGCUGCUAUCAGAAUGAGUUGUGAAAGUUCUUAUGAGGAGGAGGAAAUGGUUACUGCAGGAGACUCAUCACUGAUGAAACUGGAAUAGGUUACUCUUUCUGUAAUGGGGGUACUAUUUCUGUAGUAUGGUAGCCCAAUGCUCACUCACUCAAUAAAGGACUAUACAAAUACCAGCUGACAUUCAAGAACCUGGACACGUCAUAGAGGAAAAUCAGAGGAAAGGCAUGGCUAUAAACCCACAGUGACCAACAGCGACAAAUAGCACUAUUCAAAAAUGAUGAAAAGCCCACUUCUUUGUUAAGCUGAUUACAUAACAGUUUCGUGUGCUAGAGACAAACAAUGCUUAUUUUAGGUCUCAUCAACAUAGUUUCUUCCACUUGACCUGAUAAUUGUCUGACAGGUGGUCACAAGACCAUAUCACUAUAACCUCAGUUAACAUGUAUACCUCAAAUGGAUUGCAUUGACCUUUCACACUUUCUUCUAUCAGGAAGAAAUUAGAAACUUCAACUUAAUGACAGCAUAUAGGAAAGAACCCAUGAAAAGUUAGAGAAAAAAGAGAUGAAGAAAGCAAAGAGUAAAUAUAAAAUAAGGAAGACACAAGCAAUAUUCUUCGAAGAUCCGUAUGGUCUCAUAAAGGAGUAUAUCAUGAUAUACUUUAUUAUACAACAAAGUUCUAUUAAAAAGAUAGUGUGGAUUUACUUUCUUCUGCUUAUAAUCAACAGAGCAUUCCUUUAAGAAUUUUUGUUAUACACAUAUGCUGGGAAGGCCAAUUGCAGGGUGCGUGGUGUCUGCAU
rnacentral:lncRNA from 1 species